AACUAAAAACAGUAAUACAGAGAACGUAAGCCCAAGAGAACUUGAUUGGAACCAGCAAAUGAAAUCAUAGAAUUCCCUCUCCCUUCCCACUUUCAGAAAAACGCUCUCCCUCUCAUCAGCAUGGAUUACAUGUAAACAAAAGUUUGCAUUUUUCUUGGCUUCGAGCUUCUUGGCCUAAUGGGUUUCUCUUUUUGAAUUUACAGAAUCUAGAACUCCUAGAGAGAUAGAAGGAAUCGCUAGGAUUUCAUUCGACAUGGAAGAAUCAAGUGGAGUGCACUCUGAAGAGUAUAAAGUUUCUUCGGAGAAAGAUAAGAAAAGAAGGCUCAAGACACCUGCCCAGGUUAUGGCUCUGGAAAAAUUUUAUAAUGAGCACAAGUAUCCUACAGAAGAAAUGAAGUCCCAGCUUUCAGAGCAGAUAGGAUUGACAGAAAAGCAAAUAUCUGGAUGGUUUUGUCACAGGAGGUUAAAAGACAAAAAAUCUUUGAGAGAUGAAGCUUGUCCUAGUGGACGACAAGAUCAUUCGAGUGGUGUUGUUCAGGAUCGCGGCAGCGGGCUUGGACAGGAUUCAUGCGGUAGCACAAAACAUGGUGAUUACAGGAACGUUGAUCCUAGGGAAGUUGAAAGUCGAAGGCUCUAUCGCAAUGAUUAUCGGGCUGCAGGUUUCACCUAUGACAAUAGGAGUCAUUAUACAGGAACUGAAAGUUGCACAGACAAUACAUCUUCAGAAAGUAGCUCAUCUUCACAAGACAGGUUGUUUUCCCUCGCUGAGGAUCCAGAUGAUAGGGAAAAUUCUAGAUGCCUAACACACAAUGGCAUCAUUACACCUAUAAAUACAAAUAGUGCAAAAAUCAAGGGAUAUAAGCCAUCGGGAUACUUAAAAGUGAAGGGUGAAAUUGAAAAUGCUUCUAUCACUGCUGUUAAGAUGCAACUGGGGGGUCGUUAUCGAGAGGAUGGUCCACCACUUGGUGUGGAAUUUCACCCAGUUCCUCCUGGUGCAUUUGAGUCUCCAAUUCGGAAUCCAAUUUGUGAACCAUCCUAUGUUGGGAAUUCUGCUCUUUCCCAUCUUUCCCAUUCUCCUGAUAUUUCUGGACUGGAAAGGCAGCCUAGUCUCAGCAAUAGAUAUGAGGUGUAUAAUUCCAAGUUGAGUUCACAGGAUUUAUGUGUGGAAGGGGCAUAUUGUAGUAGUGUGCAUGGCUCUGAUUAUCAGGAUAAGAUAUCUCAGCACCAAUUAAAACAGAAUUUAACUGUUCUCAACCAUACCAAACCUUUCUCUAAGCGGAACUCUUUUUUGGAUUUCUAUGAAGAUUCUCCCAGAGAAAAAAUUGCUUACAAUAGCAAGAGGAAACAAAGAAUGAGUGGCAACUGUGGUGCUGAAGGGUCGGGGAUUGACUCUGUCACUAACGGCCAUGGUCACUAUGAUGGGAAAAUUGGAAGCAAGUUGCAUGAUUAUGAUGAUGUCAGCCCCAACGUCAUCAAAAGGAGUGAAAAUUUUGAAUUGAAGCCUUCAAUUCUAAUACACAACCUCUGCAAGUCUGCAGAUAAAGAAGAGAGAAGGCCAUCCACGAGGAUGAAAAAGAAGAAGAAAGACAAUGAAAAAUGGAAGGGUAUAGAAGAAUAUGGCAACCAAGUUAAAUUAAUAAAGCAUCCAUCAAAUGAAAUGACAGUUGAAAAACGAGUCAGACCUGAUCUUCCUAAGCCGGACUAUGUGAAAAGAGCAUCAUUAACUGGAAUGCCGACAUGGAAAUAUCAGGGCAAAGGAUCUGUCAUGGGGAUUCCAACUAGCUUCAGCGCGGAUGAAACUGAAGAAACCAGCUCUUAUUUGUAAGGUUUAAUGUUCUCAAAGCAAUGGCACGUACAGUCCUAUGGAGAGUCACUUCUCUGGAGCAUUAUCUUCGGGUGCAACAAAGUUUCCACUGGAACAUGUCAUGUAUCAGCCUUUUGGUAUUCCACUGCUGUACUGUCACGAUGGGGUUUUCAAAUAAUGCCUGCUUUUGUUAACUGGCAUUGAAGACCUUUACUAAUGGCCGGCUUCAAUUGAGCUCAGACAGAGAAGGUAGAAAAGUUAUCCCUGUUUUUGUACUGCUUGUAGUUCGUAUCAUUAAAUAACAGAUAUGUACUUCACGGUUAGUGCUUUAUUGGAGAGAGAAAAAAAUGAAAAGGAAAUUCAAGACUCCAUGGAAGUUUUCUUUAUUGUCCAUCCUGUUCUUGUUUGCAUAUGUAUACAAAAUGCCAGGUCACUCGUGGGCUUUUUUGA